rnacentral:rRNA from 1 species
AACGAACGCUGGCGGCAGGCCUAACACAUGCAAGUCGAGCGCCCCGCAAGGGGAGCGGCGGACGGGUGAGUAACGCGUGGGAACGUGCCCCAAGGUACGGAAUAGCCCCGGGAAACUGGGGGUAAUACCGUAUGUGCCCUACGGGGGAAAGAUUUAUCGCCUUGGGAUCGGCCCGCGCUGGAUUAGGUAGUUGGUGGGGUAAUGGCCUACCAAGCCGACGAUCCAUAGCUGGUUUGAGAGGAUGAUCAGCCACACUGGGACUGAGACACGGCCCAGACUCCUACGGGAGGCAGCAGUGGGGAAUCUUAGACAAUGGGCGCAAGCCUGAUCUAGCCAUGCCGCGUGAGCGAUGAAGGCCUUAGGGUUGUAAAGCUCUUUCAGGGGGGGAAGAUAAUGACUGUACCCCCAGAAGAAGCCCCGGCUAACUCCGUG